CAAAGCACUUUGAAGAGAGAGUUAAAGAGGACGUGAAACUGGCACGAUGGAAACGGAUAGAGCAAGCGAACUUGUCCGUAUUCAGCCAAAGGCCCUGGGCCCGGCUCUGUUGUGUUUCAGCCGCUGUACACGCAGGGUCGAUCGCUCGGGUUCCGAGGUGCAUUUGCGGACAAUUGCGCCGAGACUUGUGGAGCAGCGGUAGGACCCGAUUCACGAGGCUUCCCUCUGGGUUGGACCUUGGAUUGGUACACGGCUGUUUGCUCUGCUCGUACUGGUGGUUCGGGCAACGGGCGAGGCUGUCGUUGGUGUUCUCUGGUGGUGGCAAUAGCACGCUUUGCCUAGCCUGUGGGCGCCAGCUGUGGUGGAGCUCUCGGACUGUUUCUCGGUGUAAAAGCUGGUCAUCUAUCCGACCCGUCUUGAAACACGGACCAAGGAGUUUAGCGUAUGUGCGAGCCACUGGGUGUUAAAACCUAUGGGCAGAAUGAAAGUGAAGGCUCGGUCGCCGGGCUUACAUGCGACCGUUUUGGCUCCGGCCGAGGCGGGCAGCAUGGUCCCGUUUCAGUCGCAUGCGACGGAGCGAAGACAGAGUGCAUGCGCUGAGACCCGAAAGAUGGUGAACUAUUCCUGAGCAGGAUGAAGCCAGAGG
rnacentral:rRNA from 1 species